rnacentral:rRNA from 1 species
GACGAACGCUGGCGGCGUGCCUAACACAUGCAAGUCGAACGGAGUUAAGACUUCGGUUUUAACUUAGUGGCGAACGGGUGAGUAACGCGUGAGAAACCUGCCUUUCAGUGGGGGACAACAGUUGGAAACGACUGCUAAUACCGCAUAAUGUCAUUUAAGGGCAUCCUUGAAUGACCAAAGAUUUAUUGCUGAAAGAUGGUCUCGCGUCUGAUUAGCUAGUUGGUGAGGUAACGGCUCACCAAGGCGACGAUCAGUAGCCGGUCUGAGAGGAUGAACGGCCACAUUGGGACUGAGAUACGGCCCAG